rnacentral:lncRNA from 1 species
ACUUAGAUAUGCAGCUGAAGGGGUUCCUGGGUUUAUUUCUCCUGAGAACUGGCAUGGGCUCUGAGUUUUGCCAUUCCUGGCUUCGGUCCUAGCAUUCUAAGCUGCCUGACCUUGGGCAUUUGUCAACCUGUCUGAACCUUAGUAUCCUUUCCUCUCUGUAGAGUGGGAAGAGAUGGAGUCUGUGAAGCGCCUGGUGCAAGCUGUACUAAUACACCUAACAAUGAGCUCCUCCCUCCCUGCCUCCUUGCCUCCCUGCCUCCCUCCCUCCCAUGGGGAGGCCAGAAUCUGGCUGCUUGCUGCCACCUAGUGGCUCUUUGGGGUCAUCUUCCCUCAUAGGAACCACAGAUCCAGUAGCCUAGAGCAGAAAGGGAAGGAAGAUUCAACCUAGGGGUGUUUAUGUUUACCGUGUGUCUGGCACUCGUGGAGAUAGUGCAUGGGACUACAUAAGUAAGACAGCAUCGAAGAGGUGUCUUGGAGUGUGGUUAGGAGCGAGGGCUCUGGAGUCAGACAAGCUACAGACUAGCUGAGUGACCUUGGGGCAAGUUAUUUCAUUUCACUGUGCCUCAGUUUCCCCAUCUGUAAAAUUUGUAUAACGAUAACCUACCUCGCGUAUCUACAGUGCCUAGCAUAGUGCCCCACAUAAAUGUGUUCACUAAAUGUACGUCGUUAUUAAUCAUAGGAGCUUGCAGUCUCACUAGGGCCGACUGGAAAACUAUUAAGUGAUCCUCAAAGCCACAGGCGCUCAGAGACUGGAGAGAUCAAGGUGCAGAAGACUCAGGGAAGGGUAGUCUUGAGGGCAGCUGCCCUUAAAGGGUGGGCAGCAUUUAGUGAAGCAGAUGGAGGGAAGUUGACCGGCAUCCCAGAUGUGGGGAAGAGGCCAGCAGCCUAGUCUCCUCCACGGCCCAGCCCCCACUGUCUUACCAAAGAACAGCUUUAACCAAACCCCUCUGGGCAUCAGGACCACCGCUACACCUCUUGCCAGGCUGCAGAGCUAUGCAGUCUGGAGGCCCAGCUCUCGUCAGAAGCUGGGGCAUGGGCUCUAGGGGAACCUGGGGUCGGAUGAGCCCCUGAGCAGGUGGCAGGUGCCUACAUGUCCCAGUGUGGGUUCGUGUUUGUGUAAGGCUCUCCUGCCCCCACCCCCAGGCACCAGCACAGCCUUUGCCUUCACUCUCUCCCCUCCCCUGUCCCUGGGGGAUUGAAUAAGGGAAGCUGGGGUUGGCCGUCCUUCUAGCUUGAUUGGCAGCACCAGCGCUGUGACGGAAGGAUGUGUUGUGCCAGCAGCCUCUUGGCCGCAGGACAAAUGCACAUUUAAAGAGAUAACCUUUUUGUGUCCUGGCUGGGAAAGAGGUCAGUGCAGAUGUUUUUGGGUCCAGGUGUUGGCUGUGAGUUUUCCUUUCCUCUAUGAACUGACCUCAGCAGCCUAGUGGACAGUCACCUCCUUACAGGUGUAAAAUCCAAGCCAGUCAACCAUAGCAGGUGGCAGACUUAGCUGCCUUCCCUGUGGUGUGGUGCAGACCAUGACCCUUGAGGCAAAUGGGUGAGCUGGCCCCACCUCGCCUGCAGCCUCCUCUGAGGCUCCCCUGCUGCCUCCCCACUAGCCGCCCUGAAUCACCUACUUCCCAGCACCCCCAGCCCGUGGUUCUCAUCCCGUCUUCCAUCUGUGAUCUGGCACUCAUUCUUCCAGAGCCAAAGAGGAAUCCCCUCUUCUCAUGCAGAAGACAGUCAUGCCUGCCCUUGUGUGUCAAAAGCAUUGCAUUUAUGCCCUGUUAGAACCCCUGUCACAAGCAUGGUGCCUGAACACAGGUGCCUCUGUGGUCUCUUCUCAUCCUCACCCAAUGGGUACUAUGCUAGCCCCAUUUUACAGAUGAGGCAAACGUGGCACGGAGAGCUCCACUAACUUGCCUGGAUGAUUCAUGCAUCCAUCCAUUCACUUAGCAAAUACUUAUUUAACUUCUGCUUUGUGCUAGCUAGUGGGGAUGUGGCAGUGGGGAUGUGGCAGUGGGGAUGUGGCAGUGGGGAUGUGGCAGUGGGAAUGUGGCAGUGGGGAUGUGGCAGUGAGGAAGACGACAGACAGGCUCCUUGGGAAGCAGAGUAAGCAAGUGAGGAGACAGGCGGGCGUGGUGAGGCUGCGCAGGCGCUGAGAUCGAGUUGCUGGGGGAGGCCUCUCUGAGGUGGUGGGGCUUGAGUUGAUUCUGAAGGACAAGAAGAGCCAGCCCUGGGGGUCUGGGGGAAUGGUAUUCCAAGUGGAGGGAACAGCAGGUGCUGGGGGCAGGGAGGUGACAGAUGUGUCCCAGGUACAGAGAACAGAGUGAACAGGAGAGAGGAGGGGGCCAGGGCAUUCCAGGUGGGGAAAGGCAGCAGGUGGCCCGGUGGUACCACCUCUUUUGGCGAGGGCUUUGGACCUUACCCGGUGUGAUGGGAAGUCCUGGAAGUGUGUUAAGCAGGGGAGUCUUUUUGAUCAGAUUUUCUAGAAAACGACAGUGGGCUGCUGUGGACCUCAGAGAGGCAUGUGUGAUAGUGUGUUUCGGGCUCUUCCCACGAAACUCGGCUCUGCACAGUGAGACCUCAUUUCCUGGUUCUGUUUGAUGAGUGAGCGAAUGCACAUGGCAGGCGGUCAUGUCCCUUGGGCCUGUGAGGUGAGGAAGGGUCCCUGAGCCCUGUGGGGAUAGAGACUCUUCCACCAUUCUGACAUGAUCCGAGUUAGCAGGCAGCACUGUCCAGAUGGAAAUGGGGAUGGGAGACAGACCAUCUCUCUCAGCGGGUCCAGCCAUGAGCCAGCAGACUGUUUCCCAUUGGCCCCCAUCUUUCAGAGUGGGAUGAUCUUUCUAACAAAGAAACCCACACAGGAAUUUGGUGUGUGUGUGCGUGUGUGUAUUACCUUUCAGGAUGGAAGCCGGUGGGGUGUGGAGCGAGGGGCUGGCAUGGUUGGCCUCGCCCAGCUCCUGUACCCUGUGUGUGCCUAGAGCAUGCACCUGCUCCCUCUGCUGGGCUGAGACUCAGAGGACACUGGGCAGGUGGUGGGGGGUAGGAGGGUCGUGGCUGUGUUGGGUGGGGCCACAUCAGGUGUGUGGCACAGAGGGGGAGGGGGAGGGGGAGUGGCAGUGUGUUCCACCCAGCAGUCCCUGUGUUUGACCUCUUCGUACACUCUCUGUUGUAUUAGCUCUCAGAAUGAAAACGAGAUACUUUUCCCCAAUCUAUGUACGUUGUUCUUAAGAAUGUACACUUGGCCAGGUGCAGUGGCUCACGCCUGUAAUCCCAGCACUUUGGGAGGCCAAUGUGGGUGGAUCACCUGAGGUCAGGAGUUCAAGACCAGCCUGGCCAACAUGGCGAAACCCCAUCUCUACUAAAAAUACAAAAAUCACCUGGGUGUGGUGGUGGGCACCUGUAAUCCCAGCUACUAGGGAGACUGAGGCAGGAGAAUUGCUUGAACCCAGGAGGUGGAGGUUGCAGUGAGCCGAGACCGCGCCACUGCACUCCAGCCUGGGCAACAAGAACGAAACUCUGUCUCCCAAAG